rnacentral:misc_RNA from 1 species
UCCGGCUUGACGCCGGCAGUCCCCCGAGAGUCCUCAGCUUGACCUGUUAGUAACACGGGGCAAGGGUUGCGCUCGUUGCGGAACUUAACCCAACAUCUCACGGCACGAGCUGACGACAGCCAUGCAGCACCUAGUUUUGUGCCCCGAAGGGAAGACCGGUUUCCCGAUCCGUCACUAACUUUCAAGCCCAGGUAAGGUUCCUCGCGUAUCAUCGAAUUAAACCACAUGCUCCUCCGCUUGUGCGGGCCCCCGUCAAUUCCUUUGAGUUUUAAUCUUGCGACCGUACUCCCCAGGCGGUGUGCUUAAUGCGUUAGCUACGGCACGGAUCCCGUGGAAGGAAACCCACACCUAGCGCCCACCGUUUACGGCGUGGACUAC